rnacentral:rRNA from 1 species
GAUUUCUGGUUGGCCGCGCUGGCCCGCUCCCAUUGGGGGUGUGUGCCGGCGCGUGCCCUCCAUCCUUCCAGGUUGCCGCGUGUACCGUUCAUUCGGCCGCGCGCGGAGCGAUCUGGAUCAUUUACUUUGAAAAAAUUAGAGUGUUUAAAGCAGGCUUACGCCUUGAAUACAUUAGCAUGGAAUAAUAAUAUAGGACUUCGGUUCUAUUUUGUUGGUUUCUAGGACGGAAGUAAUGAUUGAUAGGGACAGUUGGGGGUGCUAGUAUUCAGCGGCCAGAGGUGAAAUUCUUGGAUUCGCUGAGGACUAACUACUGCGAAAGCAUU